rnacentral:rRNA from 1 species
AGUGAACGUUGGCGGCGUGGAUUAGGCAUGCGAGUCGAGCGAUCGUAGCAAUACGGGAGCGGCAAACGGGGUAGGAAUACAUCGGAACGUACCUUUUGGUUGAGAAUAGCGUUGGGAAACUGACGGUAAUACUCAAUAAAGUCGAGAGACCAAAGGUUUACUGCCGGAAGAGCGGCCGAUGCGAUAUUAGGUAGUUGGUGGGGUAAUGGCCUACCAAGCCUGAGAUGUCUAGGGGGUGUGAGAGCAUGGCCCCCACCACUGGGACUGAGAAACUGCCCAGACACCUACGGGUGGCUGCAGUCGAGGAUCUUCGUCAAUGGGCGAAAGCCUGAACGAGCGACGCCGCGUGCGGGAUGAAGGCCCUUGGGUUGUAAACCGCUGUCAGGGGGGAUGAAACCGUAAGGUUGACAGAGCCCCAGAGGAAGCACGGGCUAAGUUCGUG